rnacentral:rRNA from 1 species
CCUACGGUGGGCUGCAGUAGGGAAUCUUCCACAAUGGGCGAAAGCCUGAUGGAGCAACGCCGCGUGGGUGAAGAAUGUCUUCGGAUCGUAAAACCCUGUUGUUAGAGAAGAAAGUGCGUGAGAGUAACUGUUCACGUUUCGACGGUAUCUAACCAGAAAGCCACGGUUAACUACGGGCCAGCAGCUGCGGUAAUACGUAGGUGGCAAGCGUUGUCCGGAUUUAUUGGGCGUAAAGGGAGGGCAGGCGGUCUUUUAAGUCUGAUGUGAAAGCCUUCGGCUUAACCGGAGUAGUGCAUUGGAAACUGGGGGACUUGAGUGCAGAAGAGGAAAGUGGAACUCGAUGUGUAGCGGUGAAAUGCGUAGAUAUAUGGAAGAACCCCAGUGGCGAAGGCGGCUCUCUGGUCUGUAACUGACGCUGAGGUUCGAAAGCGUGGGUAGCAAACAGGAUUAGAUACCCCUGUAGUC